CCCCAUUUAUCCAGCUAAGUAUUUCUACUCACGUUUAUACUUUACUCAAAUAAUAAAAAGAUGCAUAAUCAUGAAAACCUAAAUAAAAAUUCCAUGCUUAUAUUUUUGCUUAGUUUGCUAAAUAAAUAAAUAAAUAAAGUUUGAUAUGAACCCUCAUGAUAAGCUCUCACAUGGAAAUGAUAAAUAGUUGCUCUGCUAUGUACCUAGUUUUCAAGCUUGAGCUCUCUCUCAAGUUUAGGCAUAACUGUUAUAAUUUAAACCUGCUCUAAACCUGAACUUGUGGGAAGAGUACUUGAUCUGAAGUCUAAGUUGUUAACGGAUAUGAUAUGGGAAGGUUAAGCUGUUGUUUAUCUGUUCCUAGAGAUGCUAGAAUUCUGGAGAAUUUUAUCUUUGAAAAUCUUUAAAAUAACACAUGAUGAGUUCCUGUAUGAUGAGAGUUUAAAAUCCUGCCACAACCAUAUAUACAUGCUUAUUAGGCUAUGAACCAUACAUUUACUUUUUACUACUUAUGAGCAUUGAGUGUGGUCAAGCUGUGUAGACCCUUAGGAGCUUGUCAUGCGGGUAAAAUCAAGAUCCACUUGCACGUUCACUCACACAUGCUGCUUCUACUCCGGAAGUACGCAUCCACAUAUAUCCACUCAUUUCCAUCUCUAGAUUCACCCAAAAUUAUUCUACUCCUAAUCCGAGAGAGAAUAGCCAAAAACAUUUCCCUAUUUCUGUUUUUCCCUAUGAAAUAAAUGCUCAAGAUAUUUUGGUUACUACCACUUGCUACAUUAUUCCAGGAGGGUGAGUGCUCUGACAAAAAAGAGAAAAAAAGUUAAUACGAGGAAAUAAAAAGGGGCAAGUGCCCGAAACCUCGAAGAAAAGAAAAAGUGUGACGAGAGGUAAAAAUGGACAAGUGUCCGAUAGUAGAAUUAGGGGUACAAGAUACCCACCUGAGAGAAAAAGAAAAAGAAAAAUAUAGAGCAUCUCAUUCUCCUCAAAAAGCUUCAAAGUGCAAGAAAGGUAUGUAUCCCCUAAAAAAAGCAAAAGUAGAAUUAGACUUUCACCAUUGUUAUCACCAUCAUCAGCAUACAGCAUUCACUCGCCACAUAUGCAUAUCUUGAUUUGACUUAUUGACUUGUUCUUCUGGAUCCAUGGUUUGACUAUACAAUAAAUGUCUUGUAAGUAUGUAUUAUCUGUCUCCCACCUAUGGGCUCCAAAUAUCAAAACCUUAUUAGAGUAGGGUGAGAGAGAAGGCAAUAUCACUAUGCCUCAUACCAAAAAAUACCACACACUUUGAGAGAUGGCAUAUACCAUUACUGCCUUGGAAAGGAUCCAGAAAUACCACAAAAGAGAGAUUUGAGAGAGUCAUACAAGGAGUCUCUUAGUUUUAAUUGAAAAUCUGCAAAAACUCCAGAGCUAUAGCUGAUCAAGAAUAAGAGACAUGGCGCUUGACAUGACCGUUCUAUUUUUUAACUGCUCAAGACACAAGUGAUGUUUGCAAGCCCCAUGGUGAAAGGUAAAAUGAGUAAGUUUUAAGUCUUAACAGUUUACUCUAACUCAGAGAUGAGAUCUUGCUUGAAUGCAUGUGUACUUUUACGACAUGAAACCACUGCAGAAACUCUUGAGUCCAUCCUUGCUCAGGGACGAGCAAGACGUAAGCUUGGGGGAGUUGUUGACGGUCCUUAAGUACCAAAUAUAAUCAUCAAAUAAAAAAAAGAAAAGUAUCCAAAUGCAACCAACACCCAGACUUAGGGUUUUAUCUGACAGAAUUUCAUGAGUUUUUAUGUUUGUCUAUUUCUGUAGGGGGUUAUCAGGAAAUAUGGAAGAAAGGCCCACACGUCGGGUUUACAUAGAGAUAUUAACGUGCCGCGUAAUUUUCUACCAUCUGGAAGACUCUAGAAGCCAUGGGAAUGAACGGGAAGGUGAUCGGGUCCGGGGGCAGGGCGCCCGCCCUCCCCCUAGGGCGCCCGCCCUAAGGUAGAGUCCAAACAGGACCCGUCUCGCGGAUUACGCUCCACCGACCUAAAGGAUCAAGGAUAACCGUUCAAUCAAUGUUGGUUUUAUCCGACGGCCCACGUUCACCUGAGGGGACUAUAUAAGCAGACCCCCUGGCCCCUGGAGGAGAACAAGUUCAUCAUAGAGUUGCGAGGAGCCCUCGAAGGAUAACCUCUCCUCUAAAUAGACUUAGGGCUUAGCAUCCAAUGUGAGAGUAGAAUUAGUUCUUCUAAGUUCUACUAGAUUGAGAGAGAUAGAGUGGAGGUGUAGAUCGGAGGAAGCCCGGCCUGUCGGUGUCUACUCUGAGGUUGUACCUGCGGGAUCAAGUUCUCCUAACCCGAGGCUUGCUCCUAGGAUUCUUCAGUAAUUCGACUUCUAAAUUCUAGUAAGUUCUUGUUUUAUUGUUCUUUGGUUUAUGAGUUUACUUUAAUCUCUUCCGGUUGAGUUUAGAGUAAUCAUUGCUAGCGUAAACGUGGUGUUUGGGCUAGGGUACUCAUAGAUAUCCCCUGACUAGCUAGAUCGUGGUAGUAGCGAGGAACGUGACAUUUCCGAGUUACCUUUGCAGCCCACAUCUUGUUAGCAGGAUGGGUAGGGUUUAUAGGUGCGGGUCGAACAUUCUUUGUGGUGUCUAGAUUCCGUGAGCCUCCCCAAUAGAACAGUAGAUCAUCCUUACCAAGGUUUGAACGAGACUACGGUUGUAGUCUUCUCUAUACAUCGCUCACAUCGAGAAACAUUCUUUGUAGCCUAAAGGGUAGUAGCAAUAGAUUUGGUUAGUCAGAUGCACGCUUUCUCCUAGUGGUAAAAAUAUAAAUACGAUACUCUGGAUAACCUCCCGGGUGAAGUGCUCACCGAUAUCCGUGCACUUGCGGAUCAUUUCCUGAUGGCGUUAACAAAUAUCAACAUAUAGUAACUGAUGUCCCUGUCAAAAUAGACGAUCAUUUUGUCCAUACAGAUUUUCAGGUUAUUGACAUGGGAGAAGACGAGUACGAUCCACCCAUCAUCCUUGGGAGACCGUUCCUCAGCACCGUUAAAGCGAUCAUCUACAUUGGAACCGGAGAGGUCCAUAUGCACUUCCCCUCUGAGAAGGUACGCCGCUAUUUUACUGACCCUAAUUAUAUAGUUGAAAACUUUAAGCAGGUCAGGACAAGAAGAAGACGACGCAACCGCAACCAGAGGAGGCAAAUCAUCAACGACGGAUGGGCAGACUACGAAGGAGAAGUAGUAAGGUCUAAAAACAUACAGCUUGAACAGAACUAUCCUAAGGAGACCAUGGCACCGAGUCAGGUGUGGAGAGAGAAGAUAGUUAUACGCGAAGAGGAGGCGCCGCCGGAACCACCGACUACGCCAUCUAGCAAAUCCCAGGUCGAUUGAGAAAACAAAGAGUCCCGUUCGGAGGACUUAAAAACACCGAACGCCUUGCCAAGAGGUAAACUUGGUAGUUAUCCCUUUGCUUUCAAAUCAUUUACUUUUUCUUAAAAAUAGCUAGUUCAAGUUAAUCAGGUUCAUAUCAUCUUAAAAAGAAAAAUAAAAAUGUUAAAACCAGUAAAGCCCUAUGUGAGUAUACAAGUGGCAUAAAACCCAUAAGUACAUUCAGUGUGGUGGCAUAAAAAAAUAAUAAUAAAAAUAUUGUUCUGCUCUAUAAAAAUAUAAAACAUAAAAUUGUGAUCCUACUAAAUAAAGUAGCAUUUAUUGAGGAGGCUCAACAUGAUAAAGGCUAGAUAUUUAUGCUAACACUUAAUCAGUUCCAGAAAGCUUUGUUGUCUAUUUGAGCUCCACAGAAUUUAAGGAUCAAGAAGACUAGUAGACGGAGGACAUUCUAAUCGCUGUCAGAGUACUGCCGACAUUCAAAUACACCUCUGCCACCUGCUAGCUACAUCAGAAGAAAUUACAUCAAAAUUCAACUUGGGGGAGAGCACCCCCAGCUAUUCCGCUAAGUAUUUCUAUCUUCAUUUAUACUUAUACUAUAUUAAAAUAAAAAAUAUAUAACCAUGAAAAAACCAAAUAAAGAUUUUGUGCUUAUAUAUAUAUAUCGGUUGCUUAGUGUGCUUAAUAAAUAAAUGAAGUGGCUAUGCUAAACUGAAUCUUAAUAAAACUCUAGCAUGGAUACUAUGAAUAGUUGCUCUACCUAAUUUUCAAAUUUGGAGUUCUCUCUCUAGUUUAGACAUAAUUAUUAUAAUUUAAAGCUUGCUCUAAACCUGAACUUGUGGGAAGAGAACUUGAUCUAAAGUCUAAGUUGUUAACGGAUAUGAUAUGGGAGGGUUGAGCUGUUGUUUAUCUAUUCCUAGAGAUGCUAGAAUUUUGGAGAAUUUUAUCUUUUUAAAAUAUCACAUGAUGAGUUCCUGAAUGAUGAGAGUUUAAAUUCCUACCACAGCCAUAUAUACAUGCUUGCUAGACUUUGAGCCACACAUUUACUUUUUACUGCUUAUGAGCAUUGAGUGUGGUCAAGCUGUGUAGACCCUUAUGAGCUUGUCAUGCAGUUAAAAUCAAGAUUCACUUGCACGUUCACUCACACAUGCAGCUUCUACUCCGAAAGUACGCAUCCACAUAUAUCCACUCAUUUCCAUCUCCAGAACCACCCAAAAGUAUUCUACUCCUAAUCCGGGAGAGAAUAGCCAAAAACAUUCUCCUAUUUCUGUUUUUCCUGUGAAUUAAAUGCUCGAGUUAUCUUGGUUACUACCACUUGCUAUAUUAUUUCAGGAGAUGACUGCUCUAAAAAAAGAAAAAGGAUACGAGGAAAUAGAAAGGGGCAUGUGCUCGGAACCUCAAAAAAAGUGAGACGAGAGGUAAAAAUGGACAAGUUUCCGACAGUAGAAUUAGGGGUACAAGAUACCCACCUCAGAGGAAAGAAAAAGAAAAUAUAGAGCAUCUCAUUCUCCUCAAAAAGUUUCAAAAGAGCAAGAACGGUAUGUAUUCCCUCAAAAGAGCAAAAAGUAGAAUUAGACUUUCACCAUUGUUAUCACCAUCAUCACCAUACACCAUUCAUUCCCCACACAUGCACAUCUUGAUUUGACUUAUUAACCUCUUUCUCUGGAUCCAUGGCUUGACUAUGCAAUAAAUGUCUUGUAAGUAUGUAUACUUCAUCUCCCAC
rnacentral:lncRNA from 1 species